GACGUAGGGCGCGAGCGUUGUCCGGAUUAUUGGGCGUAAAGAGCUCGUAGGCGGCUUGUUGCGUCAGCUGUGAAAACCCGCAGCUCAACUGUGGGCUUGCAGUCGAUACGGGCAGGCUAGAGUUCGGUAGGGGAGACUGGAAUUCCUGGUGUAGCGGUGAAAUGCGCAGAUAUCAGGAGGAACACCGGUGGCGAAGGCGGGUCUCUGGGCCGAUACUGACGCUGAGGAGCGAAAGCGUGGGGAGCGAACAGG
rnacentral:rRNA from 1 species